rnacentral:rRNA from 1 species
UGGGGAAUUUUGGACAAUGGGGGCAACCCUGAUCCAGCCAUGCCGCGUGAGUGAAGAAGGCCUUCGGGUUGUAAAGCUCUUUCGGCCGGGAAGAAAUCGCGUUGGCUAAUAUCCAGCGUGGAUGACGGUACCGGAAUAAGAAGCACCGGCUAACUACGUGCCAGCAGCCGCGGUAAUACGUAGGGUGCGAGCGUUAAUCGGAAUUACUGGGCGUAAAGCGUGCGCAGGCGGUUUUUUAAGACAGGCGUGAAAUCCCCGGGCUUAACCUGGGAACUGCGCUUGUGACUGGAAGACUCGAGGACGGCAGAGGGGGGUGGAAUUCCACGUGUAGCAGUGAAAUGCGUAGAGAUGUGGAGGAACACCAAUGGCGAAGGCAGCCCCCUGGGUCGAUACUGACGCU